rnacentral:tRNA from 1 species
GGAUUGUAGCUCAGUGGUAGAGCUCUUGCCUUAUAAGCAUGAGGCACUGGGUUCAGUCCUCAGCACCA